rnacentral:rRNA from 1 species
UUAGGAAUCUUGCGCAAUGGGAGAAAUCCUGACGCAGCAACGCCGCGUGAGGGAUGACGGCCUUCGGGUUGUAAACCUCUUUUAGCAGGGAAAAACACAAUGAUGGUACCUGCAGAAAAAGCACCGGCUAACUCUGUGCCAGCAGCCGCGGUAAUACAGAGGGUGCAAGCGUUAUUCGGAAUUAUUGGGCGUAAAGAGCGCGUAGGCGGUUUGAUAAGUCUGAUGUGAAAACCCUGGGCUCAAUCCAGGAAGUGCAUUGGAUACUGUCAGGCUAGAGUACAGGAGAGGUGGGCGGAAUUCCUGGUGUAGAGGUGAAAUUCGUAGAUAUCAGGAGGAAUACCGGUGGCGAAAGCGACUCUCUGGACGAUUACUGACGCUGAGGCACGAAAGCGUGGGGAGCAAACAGGAUUAGAUACCCUUGUAGUCCCUGAGCGGGCUGGCAAGGCGCAU